AGACCGAUAGCGAACAAGUAGAGUGAUCGAAAGAUGAAAAGCACUUUGGAAAGAGAGUCAAACAGCACGUGAAAUUGUUGAAAGGGAAGCGCUUGCAGCCAGACUUGCUUGCAGUUGCUCAUCCGGGCUUUUGCCCGGUGCACUCUUCUGUAGGCAGGCCAGCAUCAGUUUGGGCGGUGGGAUAAAGGUCUCUGUCACGUACCUCUCUUCGGGGAGGCCUUAUAGGGGAGACGACAUACCACCAGCCUAGACUGAGGUCCGCGCAUCUGCUAGGAUGCUGGCGUAAUGGCUGUAAGCGGCCCGUCUUGAAACACGGACCAAG
rnacentral:rRNA from 1 species